rnacentral:tRNA from 1 species
GUAGGGGGGCGGAUGUAGCCAAGUGGAUCAAGGCAG